rnacentral:misc_RNA from 1 species
GAUGAAGAACGUAGCGAAAUGCGAUAAGUAAUGUGAAUUGCAGAAUUCAGUGAAUCAUCGAAUCUUUGAACGCACGUUGCGCCCGCCAGUAUUCUGGCGGGCAUGACUGUUCGAGCGUCAUUUCAACCCUCAAGCCCUGCUUGGUGUUGGGGAUCGGCGUUGCCUCCUCCGUCGUUCGCGGCGGGGUGAGGUCGCCGCCCCCGAAAUGAAUUGGCGGUCUCGUCGCAGCUUUCCUUUGCGUAGUAACAUACCACCUCGCAACCAGGAGCGCGGCGCGGCCACUGCCGUAAAACGCCCAACUUUUUCAAGAGUUGACCUCGAAUCAGGUAGGAAUACCCGCUGAACUUAAGCAUAUCAAUAAGCGGAGGA